UGCUUUGAAAGGACUCGGUGUUAUUCUAUUUGUAUUUGGCUAUGGCUUUGGAGUCUUCCUCCUGUUUGUGUAUUUGCUUGUUAGCACUCCUCUUCUCUAUGACUUCUACAACUAUCGACCUGAAGAGCCCUAGUACGCUGCUCUGCUCGGUGAUUUUCUGCAGUCUGUUGCGCAAUGCGGUGCAUUAUUGUUCUUCUGGGGGAUGAAGAGCUUGAUCACAAAGAGGUAACUAAGGAAGAAAGUUGUGAAGCCAA